UAGUCCGACGGGGCGGUUUUUUCUCAACUACCGCCUGCAAGCGAAUGUGCUCUUCGCUGCAUUCCAGUGCAGCUUUGCUCGAGAAUUACUCCAAAUGCAUCGUUAAAAGACGUUUCCUCUUCUCUUAUCUUCCGAGUGACUUGGCAUCAUUGUUUGAAUCCAGCUGAUAUCUACAGUAUGUCCUGUUGUCCUUACGAUGGGCAUCGUGCCAGGUAGAGGUUGCCAUGACUCCCAACGCCACCCCUUUUCUAGCCCCCCCUGGAAGGUGGCAUAUUUUUUCAAUGGAAUGCUCGGCGAAAGGGUUGUAUUUAGACAAAAGAUGUCUACUCAACAUCAGCUGAAUGCUUCUGGGCUCGAGCAGCGUCAUGUGACCCACCGGUGAAGGUUUUGUGAAGGUUCCAGAACAGAAAAGGAGAAACUUGGAAAGCGAUGCUAGUGAGAGUCCUUUCUCUUUUUUUUCCUUCACUUGUUUUUCCCUGCUGAGAAAAUGGCGGACCACACUGACUUUCUUAUUUAACAAAAGUAUAUUGGUGGCACUUUUAUAUGGCAGCCCCGUUUGUUAAUUUUUAAUCUUACGGGUUGUUUUAGUCGGAGUGAAAAUGGUGCUCGAACUGUUUCCGAAACUCUAAAAAAAAGUCAUGAUUCUUUGAAUGAAUGGGUGCAAAAACCACCGCCCACUUCGGAAUGGCUCAAGUGUACCGUGGGUUGAACGUUUACGUCCGAUGAACAUCAGCAAGCAGCACAAAAAUCAGGAGCAGAUAUGGAUACAUCUCCACUGAAACUUGAGCAGGUUAAGCUCUUGGGACCUGGGCAGAGGGCAAAAGCACUCAAUCCCCUGGCUGUGUCCCAACUGAGACGGACGCGGGACGGAUGUCUGUGAGAGAUAAGACAGUGAAACGGUGGACCAGAGCGGAUGCGGCACUGGCGUGUCUGAGAGAUUAAAUGUUCAAUAUGUUCACAUGCCUGAUGAUGAUGAUGAUGGUUUCUAAUGGUUUUUAAAUAAAACUUGACCAUGCACAUCUGCUGAGGUGUUUUUCCUUUGGGAUGAGGGGUGCAGGAGAGGGUCGUCAUGCUAUUCACUUUGUCUGGCUGUCUGGUCGCCACUAAAUGACCUUUAUCGCAUUGGCAACACAAGGAAGGGCCGGUAUUAUCAGUUAUUCCCACACUAAAUCCUGAAUUCAGGAAUCUUUUUUGGUUUCUGCAAAGAUUUUAUUUUAAAUGAAGGUAAAUCAUUUCUAGUGAUGCCCUUGAUAGAAGAUCCCAGCACCUGCACUGUUAUUAAACAAGUCUGCUUGGCUUUAUCCUCAUGUAUCCACCAGAUGUAAUUUUUUGUUUAAUCCAAUAACAUAAAAUCUGUCUGAUUCAUAACCAAAAGAGUCUGUGUAAAAAAAAAACAAGCGACAUAUUGAACCAACAUAUGCUGACACCUUCAUUUACACAAAAAAAACAUUCUAUGAAUAGACUCCAUUACCUCUUGAAGCCCAGACUUUGCUGAUAGAAGAACAUGCGGCUUGCAGAGUACUGCGUUUAUAGGCACGGCAUGCACAGAGAUAUGGAUCUCAGUGUGUCGUCAUGUUGUUUUUGAGCAGAAAUGACAUUGAACUCCAGACGGAUGGUAGUUUUAUGGGGUCCGGUUGGCACAGAGCUGUGGGCUCCUUCCUGUUUUAAAGAGGUAAACUCAUUAAGUCUAACGCCUGGCUUUGUUCUUUAUCUCCCUGGAGUGUUUAACUUUUGAAAACCUAAUUUUGCUAAAUUACCCACAUUAGAAAUGUAGUUUCAAAACAAUUGUUUUCCCCCUAUUGCUCUCUCUCUCUUCCUCUUUCUCUCUCUCUCUAAUUAUAUUUUUCCCCUGCUUGGUUUCACUCCGAACAAUGGCCGAUGCCAACUAAUCAGGCUGGGUCUGUGCCACAAAGCUCCCAGCAACAGCUGAAGCUCUACCAUGCUCAGUGCAUACCAAGCAGUCAGCCACAACCAGCGAGCGCCAGCCUGGUGCCCAAUGCGGGGUCAGACAGUUUUAUUAGGAUCCGUCUGACACUCGGCUCAGGCUGGCAGUGCCAACGCACAGAUAAAAUCUUGUGUGCUGCUCACACUAUUCAUCAGAGCUUGCACAUAAAUACUCCCUCAUCCCACACUCGUUCACAAACACACGUUUACUUAGCUUAUCUAAAUGGGGACAUAACAUAGACUUCUAUUGUUUUAUAUACAGACAGUUAUACACAGAAAACUUUCUGCAUUUUUACAAUUAAAAAAAAAAAAAUUAGGAUGUCCCCAAAAGGUGGUUUUUGGCAAUUUGUCAGGUUUUGUACAAAUCUGUACCCACACACACACACACACUCACAGACCAAUUAAUCGGCUAGAUGAGAAAAGGAACAAAAGUUGGAUCCAGCCAGGAAUUCAUAUUGUUUUAUUUAAUAACCGGCCCGACUUCUGAAUGGUCCAGCAGACAUCAGGGUCUGAUGUCUCAGCCUCACUGACAUGGUUUCAUAUUUAAAUAUUUGGCAGACAGCACAUCGGACUGAGUUUCAUUAGUGUGUAUCAGAUCAAAAAAAGGUUUGUUUUCUGGCUGACGGGUCUGACGAGUAUUUUCAGGCGGACACAGAUGUCCAGAAAGACAGACACACAAAUAGACAUGCCAACAAUGAUUGAGUCAAUGUGAAAUUUUUUAAAAUUAUACACAAAAUGUAUAUGUCUACAUUACCUGUUUAUAAUAAGUUUAUUAAUGGACUGAUAAGUAAUAAUUCAUAUAAUUCUACUAAGCUGUGCAUAAACCUAGUUAAAUUGACUUUGUAUUUAUCCUUAAAAGAAAUGUUUAUUUACUUUUGAAAGAUUAUUAUUUAUUUUUUUCAGACAUAUUUAAUUCAUCUCACUGGACAGCAAGACUUAAAUGCUGAAGAAAUGUAUCGCAGUAUUAAAAUAUGCUUGUACUUUGAAUAUGAAAUGUGUAUUAUAGAAAUGUACACAGAGAAACAAUGUUCAGCAGUAAAUCAAGCAUUUUGAAAUAUAACAUUUUGAAACUAACCUGAUAUCGAAUGGUUUAGUUCACUCAAAAAUCAUGGAGUUGUCCUUGUUAUAGACCUCUAGAAGGAUUCCCUUGAUAAAUGUCAGGAGAUAAAGAUCGGCCACUGAGGAAUUAAAAGAGCCCGCUGAUGGUGUGUGAGUAUGAGUGUGUGUUCUCGCUAACCGCAUGUGGUUUAAAUAAACUUAACAUUUGUGUGGGAUAAAGGUACUGAAAGUAGAUUAAGCACUGAGAGCUCAGGCAGGAGAAGCUGCAGGAGCCGGUGAAUUUACAGGAUUACAGGAAUCUUUCUUCCAUUGGUUGACGGGGAUUGUUGUGGUGCAUGUUAUCAGGGCAGGUCAGUGGAAACAGUGGGUUCUUCUUACUGCUCAGUGCAGGUACAAAUAACAGGUGCAAACACACACAGCCUCUCAGAAUAUCUGCGUACAUCCAGACACCGAAAGAAUGAUGAAUACUGCCACUUCAGCUUAUUAGAACAAAUGCACUUGUUCAUAAUAGAUAUUUAAAAAAUAUUGGUGGGCAAUAUUAGUUUGUUAGUUCCUCAAAAGUAUUAAAGGGGUAUUGAUAAUCUGUGCUGUACAUUCAAAUUGUUUUAAUUCCUGAUUUCACUUGACACUUGUAAAAAACUUGAUUUGAGAUUCUAAUGCCGUUCCAGGCAUCAUAUUGGUUAUUGGCAAUAACAAAAAUAUUUUGGUGAAAUAGAUCAAUUCUCUUUCACAUUUUAAGUCAUAUUACUUAAACAUGCUACUUCCCGUAAGAUUUGUUCAUUCAGAUUAUUGUUAAUAAAUGCAACUGUGUGUUAAACAUUAGGGUGUUUCAUCGUUAUUUGUUGUCACCAUUUUAUUAAAGCAAUUAGCCACUGGAAGCCAUGCAUAAGUCAUACUGAGUUUGUUAGAAAUCCUUUUACCCAGUGUUAAUUUACUGUAUAUGGACCUACAUUUGAUAUACUGGUUUCCAACAUACAUUCUUAAAAAUAAAGGUUCCAAGCAUUGGUUUUCGCAUUGAUGCCAACCAUUUUGGGUUCCUCAAAGAGCCUUUCAGUGACAGAAAAGCGUUAUUUUCUAAAUGUGACAAACAUUUAAAUAAGCUAAAGGAACCUUUUAACACUAUAAAAACCCAGGUGUAUAUGGAAUGGUUCCAUGGAUCUUAAAGGGAAGAGCUCAGUGUGAUAAUGCCGACAUCUCAAAAUGUGCUUUGAUUUAUCAGAGUGGUUACUUCGUCAUUUUCCCCAAUCAUUUGAAAACUGAUUCUAAACUUGUUAACAUGCAUCAAGCAUCAAAAUGGAAGAAAUGAAACUAAUUAAACAGCUACAAAUGAUUGUGUUUUUGCCAUGUGUCCCUUUAGUUGAUAAUCAUAUUUCAAAAAAGAGUUCAUCAGCUUUGUGAUCCAAGAGUUAAAGCUUUGAUAAUAUCCGUCUGCUGGGGUUUGAUUCUUUUUAGACCUGUAGACCGUUUGCUUUGUUCUGAAACGGGGACUUCAUUUGUUACAAUGUUGCAUUUUUCCGCUUGGUUCAGUUUUCACGUUCACAAGGCAACAUUGCAAAGCGUGCCAAACUGCAUUUAUUUAUCACUCACAGAAUCAGACACUGGCUGCUGCAUUUUAUAUAGCAUAUUUCCCAUUAUGAAUUAUGAUCCGGCUUGGUUCUUUGGUCCGUUGGGUCACUAAAAGCGAACUGCUCUAGAGUCCGUUUGCAACUGGGCCGAGACCACCUCUUCAAGGAGGUCUCGGCAUGCUUGAUUCAAACUAAUUAAAUGAGGCAGGUGUGAAAGCACUCUAUAAGUCAGAAACAUAUAUUACAAGAAUCUGAAGAGAAAACAAGGAGUACUUUUGAAAAUGUCAUUAUUUUCAUACAUACAGUACAUCUCUGGGUCCCUAAGCGUAAAGAAAGCAACUCAAUCUCAGAACAGAGUAAUGGCCUGUAAUUGGCCUGCAUCAGUCUAGAGGACGUAUCUCCACACGGCCCGUCACUCUUAAAGUCGUUCCUCCCCGAUUCAUCCUGUCCUGUGUACCCUUUCUCUGUGAUGUCUGCAGUACUGCUGUGGAGGCGUUGCCAAGGAAACGCAGGCUGGCAGCGCGCUGGAGUUAUUGAACCACAACUGGCUUUUUGCUUUAGAGGAUAAUUAGCUUCUGUCUCACAGGUUUCUCUCAGCCGAUGGGACUCUGUUCUGAGCGUCUUCCUCCAGUCAGAGCUUUUAACCCGUCGGAUGGCGGGUAGCUGUGGCCGCAGGUGCUCCUUUUACCUGGACGAAAAACUGUGCGAGCACUCCAGCAAUCCUCAAACACACACACACACACACACACACACACAAACACACACUACCCAGACUUCCUUUUGUUCUUCAACACACAGUGAGCUCUGGCGGAAAUAUAAACCUAUCUGUAUCCUAAAAUGAAGUGUCUCUCUCUUUGUUUCUCUCAUAUUAAAAACAAUAAAUAAAAAUCGCAUUCAAUUUCUGCUGUGAAUGAGUGUCUAAAAUAACACUGAUCGAAUGAAUCUCAUUUAAUAUAAUAUACAGAUAUAAUUAUCUGUAAAAUUUUAAUUGUAUUGCGUUCAUCUAGAUAUUCGAACCGGAAAACAAGAGAAAUGUACUGAUUAAACCUAUAGCUUUCUUUAUUCAGUGCGAGGAAGCAAGUGUGUGUGUAUAAGUAUGCAGUUUCAGCAGGCGAGUCUGACACACAAAUCCGCUCCCGCAUUAAAAGAGGCGGAGAACAGAGACAGAUCCUUUGACCUUCUGCUUUCACACACAGUCCAGUGACACACACACUCCGAUCACAAAUGCACAUUAAUCUUGUUAUCCCUUGCACAUUUGUAUAUUUAAAUGCUGUAAAUGUUUAAGACUUUCUAAUAAAUUGUUGAUAUUAUUGUA